AGUGAACGCUGGCGGUAGGCCUAACACAUGCAAGUCGAACGGCAGCACAGUAAGAGCUUGCUCUUACGGGCGGCGAGUGGCGGACGGGUGAGGAAAACAUCGGAAUCUACUUUUUCGUGGGGGAUAACGUAGGGAAACUUACGCUAAUACCGCAUACGACCUACGGGUGAAAGCAGGGGAUCUUCGGACCUUGCGCUAUUGAAUGAGCCGAUGUGGGAUUAGCUAGUGGGCGGGGUUACGGCCCACCAAGGCGACGAUCCGUAGAUGGUGUGAGAGGAUGAUAGGCGGCACUGGAACUGGGCCACCGUCCAUGCUACUACGAGAGGCAGCAGUGGGGAAUAGGAGACAAUGGGCGCGAGCCUGGUCCAGCCAUACCGCGUGGGUGAAGGAGGCGUUCGGGGUGUAAAGACGGUUUGUGGGGAGAAAAAAGCAGCCGGCUAAUACGACGCUAUAGUGACGGUACCCAAAGAAGAAGCACCGGCUAACUUCGUG
rnacentral:rRNA from 1 species